rnacentral:rRNA from 1 species
CCUACGGGAGGCAGCAGUGGGGAAUUUUGGACAAUGGGCGAAAGCCUGAUCCAGCAAUGCCGCGUGAGUGAAGAAGGCCUUCGGGUUGUAAAGCUCUUUUGUCAGGGAAGAAACGGUGUGGGCUAAUAUCCUGCACUAAUGACGGUACCUGAAGAAUAAGCACCGGCUAACUACGUGCCAGCAGCCGCGGUAAUACGUAGGGUGCAAGCGUUAAUCGGAAUUACUGGGCGUAAAGCGUGCGCAGGCGGUUUUGUAAGUUUGUCGUGAAAGCCCCGGGCUCAACCUGGGAAUUGCGAUGAAGACUGCAAGGCUUGAAUCUGGCAGAGGGGGGUAGAAUUCCACGUGUAGCAGUGAAAUGCGUAGAGAUGUGGAGGAACACCGAUGGCGGAGGCAGCCCCCUGGGUCAAGAUUGACGCUCAUGCACGAAAGCGUGGGGAGCAAACAGGAUUAGAUACCCUGGUAGUCCACGCCCUAAACGAUGUCUACUAGUUGUCGGGUUUUAAUUAACUUGGUAACGCAGCUAACGCGUGAAGUAGACCGCCUGGGGAGUACGGUCGCAAGGUUAAAACUUCAAAGGAAUUGACGGNNGNGAGNGCGAGACGACGACGAGGAGAGG